UUGAUCUUACUGGAUAGAUCAGGCCAGACCCCAGUAUUCAGUGCUACCUGGAAGUUGGCUGUGGGACUUGGUUUGGUCAGACUGGGAACAAGGACACAGUGAGCAGGUCUGAUCUGUCCCUGUUAGCUAUGAGGAAACUCUGCCGGGCAGCAGCAAAUCAUUAGGUGUCAACCUGUGUGUCCUGAGAUCAGUGUGGAUGAAUGCUCAGGGAAGGGUACUGCCGUUCAGCCAGUCACACGGUAGAGCACCUGAGAUACAGCUGCCUCGUUUCAGCCAGUCACACAUCCCAGUGUAGUCUGGACUGAGCAAGGGAAAAGCAACAGGCAGGGUCUGAGCAUCUCUACUCUCCAGGGCUGUCCACGAAGCACCUCAGCCUCCUGCCCAGUGCAGACGCCAGGAGGAUACUGGUGCCAGUGGCAUGAAGGUGAAUUUCAGUGGCCUGAGGGCCCUGGUGACAGGGGCAGGGAAAGGGAUUGGGCGUGACACUGUGAAGGCCCUGCACGCCUCAGGAGCCAAAGU